rnacentral:rRNA from 1 species
CAUUCAUAGAGUGUAAAGGCAUAAGGGAGCUUGACUGCGAGACCUACAAGUCGAGCAGGGUCGAAAGACGGACUUAGUGAUCCGGUGGUUCCGCAUGGAAGGGCCAUCGCUCAACGGAUAAAAGCUACCCCGGGGAUAACAGGCUUAUCUCCCCCAAGAGUUCACAUCGACGGGGAGGUUUGGCACCUCGAUGUCGGCUCAUCGCAUCCUGGGGCUGUAGUCGGUCCCAAGGGUUGGGCUGUUCGCCCAUUAAAGCGGUACGCGAGCUGGGUUCAGAACGUCGUGAGACAGUUCGGUCCCUAUCCGUCGUGGGCGUAGGAAAUUUGAGAGGAGCUGUCCUUAGUACGAGAGGACCGGGAUGGACAUACCUCUGGUGUACCAGUUGUCGUGCCAACGGCAUAGCUGGGUAGCUAUGUGUGGACGGGAUAAGUGCUGAAAGCAUCUAAGCAUGAAGCCCCCCUCAAGAUGAGAUUUCCCAACUUCGGUUAUAAGAUCCCUCAAAGAUGAUGAGGUUAAUAGGUUCGAGGUGGAAGCAUGGUGACAUGUGGAGCUGACGAAUACUAA